GGGGAUGUAGCUCAGUGGUAGAGCAUUUGCCUAGCAUGCACCAGGCCCUGUGUUCAAGCCCCAACUUCACCU
rfam:Ictidomys tridecemlineatus contig059562, whole genome shotgun sequence.